rnacentral:rRNA from 1 species
CCUACGGGGUGCAGCAGUGAGGAAUAUUGGUCAAUGGCCGGAAGGCUGAACCAGCCAUGCCGCGUGAAGGUCAGUGCCCUAUGGGCGUUAAACUUCUUUUGUGCGGGAGCAAUAAUGGUCACGUGUGGCCAGACGAGAGUACCGUACGAAUAAGCAUCGGCUAACUCCGUGCCAGCAGCCGCGGUAAUACGGGGGAUGCAAGCGUUAUCCCGAUUUAUUGGGUUUAAAGGGUGCGUAGGCUGUGAGGUAAGUCGGCGGUGAAAUGCCCCCGCUCAACGGGGUGAAGUGCCAUUGAUACUGGCUUGCUAGAAUGCGGAUGACGUGGGAGGAAUGUGUGGUGUAGCGGUGACAUGCAUAGAUAUCACACAGAACACCGAUUGCGAAGGCAUCUCACGAAUCCGCGAUUGACGCUGAUGCACGAAAGCGUGGGUAUCAAACAGGAUUAGAUACCCCGGUAGUC